GGUUAUCCUAUCGACAACCAUAUAAAUAUUUACAGUAGGAAUUAUAUGUCACAGCCAACACUGUUUUGUCGGUUAGUCUAUUAGAAUCUAAAUUAUUGGGUUUCUUUCGAUCUUCCGUUCAAUCUGUUGUAGAGAUUUGUAACUUUUAGAUGCAUUUAUGAAUUACUGAUAGCUAAAUCAAGCAAUUUAGUAUUAAAGACUCCAUUUUCAUGGUAUUUUUUUUUUCUAGACACAGAGAGCAGAUAGAUGGUGAAAGAAAUGAAGCUGAAUUGGAAAGCGUGGUGGUGGUCUCUUCUUAAGAACAAUCACUGGGUUGUUAAAUUAGCAGUCGCAUUUCUCUUGGUGGGUCUUGCUUUUAGACUUCUUUCCUCUCGAUCCACUGAGUUUCCCAAUGUUGCAGAAACCCCUUUUCUUCAUGAACCUCAUCACCCAAAACCUCAAGCUUCUUCAAAUUUAUCUGAAUCUAGAGAUCAGAUUCCUCAUAAAG
rnacentral:lncRNA from 1 species